rnacentral:rRNA from 1 species
GGAAUAUUGCUCAAUGGGCGAGAGCCUGAACCAGCCAAGUAGCGUGAAGGAAGACUGCCCUAUGGGUUGUAAACUUCUUUUAUCGGGGAAUAAAGUGCGCCACGUGUGGCGUUUUGUAUGUACCCGAUGAAUAAGCAUCGGCUAAUUCCGUGCCAGCAGCCGCGGUAAUACGGAAGGUCCGGGCGUUAUCCGGAUUUAUUGGGUUUAAAGGGAGCGCAGGCUGAUUGUUAAGCGUGACGUGAAAUGUAGCCGCUCAACGGCUGCACUGCGUCGCGAACUGGCAGUCUUGAGUGAGUACGACGUCAGCGGAAUUCGUGGUGUAGCGGUGAAAUGCUUAGAUAUCACGAAGAACCCCGAUUGCGAAGGCAGCUGACGAGUCCUUUACUGACGCUAACGCUCGAAGGUGCGGGUAUCGAACA